UAAAACGAGAAUCCCGCUUAGAAUUAAUUUAUAUAGAACCUGCAGAGUCACAGAAUUUGGUAUUUGACUAAAAAGAAACUAUCACCGGCUACAACAUGGCCAACAUUUCCGAGCAGCACGCGAAUGCACCAGCCUCUCCUCCGCUUGUUCCAUCCCUCCGUUCAACCGGCUCCAGUAUCGUGAGUGAGUGAGUGUGCAGUGAAGUGAAGCGAACCGUCACUCUCCUCCUUUCUUCCUUCAAGGGUGCGCGCAUCACUUGUGGGAAAACGGCGCUCGCGACUCACAAGUUCAUUGUCCGUUGGCUCGGUUCGACUUGACUUCGCCGUCCCCCGGUACCCUCCUACUCUCACACCAGCUUUAUCUUACAAUUUCAUCCCCGCUUUCUGACUCGAGAGGCGGCGGACUGGCUAACAGUGACUGGGCGUAGCUGGAGAGGAUUUUGCUAGCUUGCAGUUACGCUAACCGAGCUGCCCAUGCUGGGGCUUGGAGGCUCUCCAGCACUCUUAAGUCAGGGGUGAGCCAGACUGCACCCCCCUUCCCUUCACCGUCCUCACACCACCAACCACAUCCCCAUGCCACAGGAUGGAUGAACGAAUGGCUGACUCACUCUACUUCUGGGAUAAGGCUGGACCGAGCUUGAUGCAAUCAUUUGAAAUUAAAUUUAGCCGCCAUUAAAAGGCGCACCRUUUUGAAAUGAAGUUAUUUGGAAAAUUAUUAUUUGGAGCAUGUGGAUUAAAGCCAGAGGCAUUCUG